rnacentral:rRNA from 1 species
UACGUAGGGGGCAAGCGUUGUCCGGAAUCAUUGGGCGUAAAGAGCGUGUAGGCGGCCCGGUAAGUCCGCCGUGAAAGUCCAGGGCUCAACCCUGGAAUGCCGGUGGAUACUGUCGGGCUAGAGUCCGGAAGGGGCGAGUGGAAUUCCUGGUGUAGCGGUGAAAUGCGCAGAUAUCAGGAGGAACACCCGUAGCGAAGGCGGCACUCUGGGCCGAUACUGACACUGAGGAGCGAAAGCGUGGGGAGCGAACAGG